AGUGAACGCUGGCGGUAGGCCUAACACAUGCAAGUCGAACGGCAGCACAGUAAGAGCUUGCUCUUACGGGUGGCGAGUGGCGGACGGGUGAGGAAUACAUCGGAAUCUACUUUUUCGUGGGGGAUAACGUAGGGAAACUUACGCUAAUACCGCAUACGACCUACGGGUGAAAGCAGGGGAUCGUCGGACCUUGCGCGAUUGAAUGAGCCGAUGUCGGAUUAGCUAGUUGGCGGGGUAAAGGCCCACCAAGGCGACGAUCCGUAGCUGGUCUGAGAGGAUGAUCAGCCACACUGGAACUGAGACACGGUCCAGACUCCUACGGGAGGCAGCAGUGGGGAAUAUUGGACAAUGGGCGCAAGCCUGAUACAGCCAUACCGCGUGGGUGAAGAAGGCCUUCGGGUUGUAAAGCCCUUUUGUUGGGAAAGAAAAGCAGCAGGUUAAUACGCCGCUGUUCUGACGGUACCCAAAGAAUAAGCACCGGCUAACUUCGUG
rnacentral:rRNA from 1 species